CGAAGGUUCUCACAGAAAACCUAUAGGAAUUUGAAAAAAAAAAAAGUACGUCGCAAGCUUUUGAAAUUUAAAAAUAAUAUGUGGCAGGCAAAUGAGGGAAAUAAAAAUAAAAUGACAUGAAAUUGAUUUUCCCCAAAUUUCAAUCGGCAGCCUCUUCUUUCUCUUGCCCCAAGCACCCGACAAAAAAGCCUCCACCUGAAGCAAAAUCGGUCGGCGCACUCACCGUCAUCGCCGACUGAUGCCAACGAAGUUGUGCAUACUUUUAGUGAUAUAGAUUUUUUUAGAUAUUGAAAAUUCUUCCCUGCAAAUCUCGGCUAUCUUUAUAUAUUUGCAUAAUUUCAGAUACCUCAAUGUUGACAGUUGUUGAUGGUCACUAUGCUUUUGCCAUUGGCGAGAAUUUGACUUCUUGUUGUAAGUAUACUUACAAUACUUAAGGGCGUGAUUGGAGAUGGCUUAAAUGAUAAUUCUGAUUGAUGCUUUUUAGGAGUUCUUUUAGAGCAUGCUCAUUGAACAUCUUUGCUGUGAUAGCUUGUGCACUCUACUGUACGGUCUCUCACAUUGUCUCUUACAUUCAUUUUUUUAAGUGGAAAUGCUUAUGUUAGGUUAGAUUUUUGUUGUCCGCGCGUGAGAUUGGGUUCUCUUCAGUUAACUACCUAGUCACCCCUCCACUUCAGCAAACUAACUUUGAUGUGAUAAUUGUAACUCUUAUUGUAGUACAAGAGGUGAAUAACCGGAAGCAAGCAUGGACAUCACUAUUAAAGAACAAAAUCUGCCACCCUUUCAGCUAUGUCUAACAUUAUAAUGACAGUGGAUACUUUGAUUGGAUGAGAGUUGAAGCUUUAGAAGGGGAAUUGAGUUCCGUUAAUCAUGCGGUGAAUCAUGUACCCAAUGAGGAAGACGAAGAGUUGCCAAGACUAUUUGACUGGCUUGCUAGAAUUAGCCAGAAACGAGGCAUUGACAUAUAAGUGCACAUGACUCUCAACAAGGGAAAAUGAAUUAUCGAAUGUGACGGGAAAAGAAAGGGGUCGAAUUGAAUGGGUGAUUUCAAUUAUGUCUUUCAAUUUCAAUUUGUAUAAUGAUAUAUUGGUUUUAUUCCACUAUGAAGGAUAUGCCUUCAGUUGUGAUUCCACUCAAACCUUUUGUUUAGCUGUUUAUAUAGUUGUAAUGAGAUCCCAUUUGUAAUGGACUUCGGAUCAUACUGAUGACCAAGUUUUGUUAUGAUUAUUGGAAAUACUUUGAUGGGAG
rnacentral:lncRNA from 1 species